AUUGAACGCUGGCGGCAUGCCUAACACAUGCAAGUCGAACGGCAGCACAGUUUCACCGCAAGGUGAAAUGGGUGGCGAGUGGCGGACGGGUGAGUAAUACAUAGGAAUCUGCCUCGAAGAGGGGGACAACUCCGCGAAAGCGGAGCUAAUACCGCAUAAUGUCUACGGACGAAAGCCGCCACGCCUUUGGCGUGGUAGUACUUUGCGAUGAGCCUAUGUUGGAUUAGCUAGUUGGUGAGGUAAAGGCUCACCAAGGCGACGAUCCAUAACUGGUCUGAGGGGAUGAUCAGUCACACUGGAACUGAGACACGGUCCAGACUCCUACGGGAGGCAGCAGUGGGGAAUUAUGGACAAUGGGGGAAACCCUGAUCCAGCAAUGCCGCGUGUGUGAAGAAGGCCUUCGGGUUGUAAAGCACUUUUAGUGGGGAGGAACAAGGUUUGUUUGAAUAAAACAAGCCCUUGACGUUACCCACAGAAAAAGCACCGGCUAACUCUGUGCCAGCCGCCGCCGUAA
rnacentral:rRNA from 1 species